AUGUUGUGUGCACCACAUGGUCGUGUUAUAUGUAGAUUCUCUGGUGGUAGACAUCGCAGUACCAGAUUUCCCAGUCCGGGUAGAGGCAUGGGACAACAAACGUAUAGGGCUAGUCACAAAGGCAGACAAAACCCCCAAGGAGGAUACGACAAGCUUAGGAAGAAGAGGAAAAUCGCUGCAAUGGUUAGCUCAUUGUGCUCAGAAUGGUCGGAUAGAAUUGGUAUAUUCAUUGAAGAGAUCGACAGUCUGGAUAGGGAGGAUGCCAGGGACUCUAGGAGCAAUUCACACAGGAAAAAGCGUCGCAGGGCUGCACGCGUUCCGGGCAUAAGAAUCGAAGAGUCCGAGCAUCAUGGGGGCAUCCCGGAGGACAAUGCAAAGUUUAUGCCAACCUUAGAGUUAGGGGAAGAUGGACAAGCAAGGUGCAGCAGAAACAGCUCUGAUGAUUUUGUCUCCCCAAGGACCAUAGCUUCAAAGCAAAAUGAACUCAGAUCCAAAAUUUGCCCUCGAGGAACAGUGGAAACGUGA
rnacentral:rRNA from 1 species